rnacentral:rRNA from 1 species
UACGGAGGGGCUAGCGUUGUUCGGAAUUACUGGGCGUAAAGCGCACGUAGGCGGCUUUGUAAGUUAGAGGUGAAAGCCCAGGGCUCAACCCUGGAAUUGCCUUUAAGACUGCAUCGCUUGAACAUCGGAGAGGUAAGUGGAAUUCCGAGUGUAGAGGUGAAAUUCGUAGAUAUUCGGAAGAACACCAGUGGCGAAGGCGACUUACUGGACGAUUGUUGACGCUGAGGUGACGAAAGCGUGGGGAGCAAACAGG